UACGGAGGGUGCAAGCGUUGUUCGGAAUUAUUGGGCGUAAAGGGCAGGUAGGUGGUCCCAAAAGUCUACUGUGAAAUCCCCGGGCUUAACUCGGGAAGUGCGGUAGAUACUCUGGGACUAGAGUACUGGAGGGGUUCGUGGAAUUCCAGGUGUAGCGGUGAAAUGCGUAGAUAUCUGGAGGAACACCGGUGGCGAAGGCGACAUCCUGGACCGGUAUUGACGCUGAGGCGCGAAAGCCAGGGGAGCAAACGGG
rnacentral:rRNA from 1 species